AACGAACGCUGGCGGCAGGCCUAACACAUGCAAGUCGAGCGAGAUCUUCGGGUCUAGCGGCGAACGGGUGAGUAACGCGUGGGAAUAUGCCUCUUGGUACGGAAUAGCCUCGGGAAACUGGGAGUAAUACCGUAUGUGCCCUUUGGGGGAAAGAUUUAUCGCCAAGAGAUUAGCCCGCGUUGGAUUAGGUAGUUGGUGGGGUAAUGGCCUACCAAGCCGACGAUCCAUAGCUGGUUUGAGAGGAUGAUCAGCCACACUGGGACUGAGACACGGCCCAGACUCCUACGGGAGGCAGCAGUGGGGAAUCUUAGACAAUGGGGGCAACCCUGAUCUAGCCAUGCCGCGUGAGUGAUGAAGGCCUUAGGGUUGUAAAGCUCUUUCAGCUGGGAAGAUAAUGACGGUACCAGCAGAAGAAGCCCCGGCUAACUCCGUGCCAGCAGCCGCGGUAAUACGGAGGGGGCUAGCGUUGUUCGGAAUUACUGGGCGUAAAGCGCACGUAGGCGGACCAGAAAGUUGGGGGUGAAAUCCCGGGGCUCAACCCCGGAACUGCCUUCAAAACUAUUGGUCUGGAGUUCGAGAGAGGUGAGUGGAAUUCCGAGUGUAGAGGUGAAAUUCGUAGAUAUUCGGAAGAACACCAGUGGCGAAGGCGACUGACUGGACAGAUAUUGACGCUGAGGUGCGAAAGCGUGGGGAGCAAACAGG
rnacentral:rRNA from 1 species